ACGACUUUUAUAUCAACUCUGAAUCUUCUGACUCAGAAAAUGUGGAUCUGGAGUCUGAAAAUUCAAACCAUGAGGUAUGUGACUUAGUAUCUGAGCAUCAUUGUAAAUAUGCUUGUAUGUAUUGGUUGUAAAUUAAUGUUGUGUCUAUAUGUACCGGUACUUUUAGGAUGAAAAAGAGCUGAGUGAGGUGAUUCUGGAUUUCUAGAAACAAAACCUCACUACAGAGAACGCCUUUUCUAUGGUUGCCAGACGGAGGCACAUUUUAAAAAGUGCAUGUGUGGCUUUAAAAAAAUCAUAGUUUGACUGGAAAAAGGUACCAUUGGUCACAUUUGUUGGGGAGAUGGCUGAUGAUUAUGGUGGUCCAAGGAGAGAAUUUUUAAGGUAAUUUGGUCUAAGAAAAAAAAAAUAUUUCUCUUUAUAGGUUCACAAAUGUAUGUGUAUGUAUGUGUCUUUGUCUUGCAGGUUGCUCAUGAUUGAGGUUUCAACCGCUCUUGGAAUUUUUGAGGGCCAGCCAGGAAAGCUGGUUUUCAGUUACAAUCUGCAGUUCCUGGAGCAGCAGAAAUACUUCACUGCUGGGAAGCUCGUGGCUUGGUCUAUCAUACAUAAUGGUCCAGGGCCCAGGUGCUUCCAGAGGGAGCUCUACAAAAGGAUAUCUGGAGAGAGACCAGACCUCAGAGAUGUGGAUGUGGGCAUGUUCAUGGAUCCCGAGCUAAAUGCCAACAUGGAGAACGUAUUGGGAGUGAAAAAGUAUUGUAGUACAUAAGUGAGUGUCCGUGUGUGAAUGAAAACUAUCAGUCAUCUAGUCACAUUUUGAGCUGAUGAAAAAUGUUGAUUUAUAAAUAAAUCAAUAGACAGUGAUUUAUUUAAUUUCUUUUUUUUGUGUUCUACAGAUUAAUUCAUGCAGAACCGCAGAAGCUCUGGCAACACUUAAGGAAACAACGGGUGACUGGAUAGCUGCCAGUCGAGUGCCAGAUGUAUUCAGCGCCACAUUGGAAGACCUGCCACACCUCAAACAACAAAUUGUGGCACAUUUCCUGUAUCAUCACAUUUCCUGUAUCAUCGGUAUGAACAGGAGAUCAACUGCAUUAUUGUUUAGUAAUUUCUGACUACUACCAAAAUACUGUUUUUUUCUAGAUUAGACUUAAAUAUUAAUAAUACAUAAUGUUUAAAGUGCAACCAUGGUUGGAAGAUAUACUAAUUUUCUAAUUAUGACACAUAAUGUUGUUUUUUUUUUUAAGUUCACUAGUUUGCCUUUUUUAAGUAUGUUUUCUUUUCAUUUUAGAGUUGCCAGUAUGAUUCAGCAAUUCAUUGCUGGACUUGAUUCCUGUGGACAAUUUUGGCAAGUGGUGAAAAGAUUCUGGAGACAGUUUCUUCCAGUGUUCACAAACACUGGAGAAAAGCUCUCUAAGAACUGCAUCCAGAAUCUUUUCACCAUUGUCUGGAGUGAUCCUGGAAGCAACAAGAGGGACAUGGAGGAGGAAACCAUCCUCCAGUGGGAAUGGUGGCUGAUUGGCAUCCAGGAAGGUGAGACAGAGGUACGGGACCCCAGCUCCUGCUUACAUGCUCGCAGCUUCGUCUGCACUGGACACCAGCUCCACUGAAAAUCACCAGCUACUAUUGGUCAUUCAUUCAGGAAAAAGUGAAGCUCAUCGAGAUGAUUCCAGAAAAAAAA